rnacentral:lncRNA from 1 species
UUUGAAUGAAAACAUUAGAUGCUCAUUAUUUUUUAUAUUUUAUCGCAACUGAAAAUAGAACUACAACUAUGACAAAACACUACAUCUGAUAGAACUUAAUUAAAACAAAAAAAAUCUAAGGGAUAGAAAUAGGUAUAGUUGGUCUUGACCCACAAAAAAAUACACAUUUGCAGGUUCUUACACCACGUUCAUUAAUUAUACAAGUCCCUUCAGUAAUAGCACGUCCUGUUCCUUCCACACAUUUACUGAAGCAUCCAUCUCUUAGUCCGAUAUUGCAUAUUUCAAAUCCUAUAUCAACUCUGCAUGUCUUGAUUCCAUACACAUCUGCAUCCACAAAAUUAAAAUAAGUUUCUCAUCUUUGAAUUCCAAAGGUGGUGAAAAAUAAUUAUAAAAAAACGUCUAGUCAUUUUGUGAAUUAGUCAAAAUAUAUAAAUCAUCACACCAUAAAACUUGGCCAUUAUAGUGAAAUGUUGUUUUAAAGGAUGUCUAUUAUAAAAAGGUUUGAGUGUGUAUGAUUUAAAAUUCGGCGACCUCCCUACCACUUGUUUGUUUAUUGGAUUUCAAUCUCCUUUAUAAUAAUAUAAAAGAAUUUGAGGAUAAGAAAAGAUUAGAUCUGACAGAAAACUCUACUGUAGGUAAAAGGAUAAUGUAAAACCUGAUACAACAGCAAAAAGGACGAUUAGAAUUGCAAGUGAUCUCAGGGACUUUUCCAUCUUCUAUCUCUUAUGAAUUCUAGUUACUGUUUGCAAACUCCUCCAAAGACUUCCUUCUUAUAAUGUUUCAC